GCGCCCGUAGCUCAGUAGGAUAGAGCGGCGGUUUCCUAAACCGCAGGCCGCAGGUUCGAAUCCUGCCGGGCGCAUCA
rnacentral:tRNA from 1 species